CAUGAAAGAGGAGAAGCAUUCUUUUCGCCAAUUAUUUAAUAUGUUAAAACUAAUACAAAAAGGAAAUUUUUGUAGAAAAAUUCUCACCAUGCAGAGUAAAAGUCCCGUCCCUCAUUAAAUUCAAAAAUGCACGACUGAGUCAAAAUGGAAACAAAACGUCGCAAGUGGAACCUUACGGUGGAGUCUAGUUUCAUGAAUUCAAGAGACCGCAUUUAUUUUAUUUUGCAUUUAUUCAAUAUUAUUAACCCAGGAAACUAGGUUGCACUUGACAAAUUUUGCAAAUGUAAACAAAUAUCACCUGUUUGAGUUAACUCAAAUUCGGUGGAAAUGUUAGACAUUCAUUUACUUAACAGAAGUCUUUAAUGCAUUUAAGUGCCCAUCUAUAAAUAUGUAGUUUUCUCACUGUAAAAAGAUAUGGUUUAUUUUAUAGCCUUUCCCUUUUCAACUGGUAGCACGAUGUGUGUAACUGUAUAAGUUAUUACAGUAGCAAAAUAUACAAACAACAAUGUCGUGACUUUAGCACAACAACAAUAUUAUCAGAAUAGCCUAGAAACAACAACAAUUUUGUAAAUUCAGCGAACAACACUUCUAAAGUAAUAAACAAUAUCAGCAUUGCCAAAUUGUAUCCAACUAAAGUUAUUUUCGAAGCGUUAAAUUGUCAAUUAUUAUAUUAACAGUUUAAACGCAUUUAAUUUUGAUAAAUAAAAUAUCGCAGCAAUUACAAACUAUUGCGGAUCUCGGAAAUAUGAUACUAUCAAAAACAUUUUGAGUUCUGUAUAUUGUGAAUCCGCAAAAUAUAAUAGUUUUAUUUAAAUAGUUGCAAAAAUAUUGAUUUCAAAGUUGCAGAAGAUAUUCAGUAUGAAACAGAUUCACAGGAAUACGAGGUAAUGGGAACGAAACCACUUUAUAAAGCCAUCUUAAGACAGGCGUGAGCUAAGGACUCUAAAUUACAAACUGGGAUCCUUAUCUCAAAAGCAGCUCUACGCAAGAAUUAAUCACCAGAUACAAGUAAUGUGCUACUUGACACUUAUAGAAGCCGACAUACCGACGUAUUUAUCAGAGGCCUUAUCGGUGAAUUGUUAAUGAUCCAAUGUCCUAGGAACCUACCUGAAGCAUACGCUUCUUGUCUUGAAAUACGCAUACUUAAUCUAAGGAUAAAUUUAAUCUACUCGCGGAAUAAAGGAAGCUCAAAUGGAAUGUAAAACAACAAAAAAAAAACCAAAGCAAAUAUUCGUAGCAAGAAAACUAAUCUCCUUUUGAAAAAAACGUUGAAGCUCAAGCGCCAUCUCCAUCCAGACCAACCCAACCCACCCAUGCGUUCCCGAUGGAGGCGGAUACCUCAAUUUAUUCACGAAAAGUAAAUUGAAAACCAAAUGUUAUUUAAAAACCAAGCAGUGGACCAGGAAUACACCGAAGGUGGAGAGAAAAAAGAGAUAAAUUUUAUGACUGAGACAGAUAUAAGAACAACAAAUGCGGAGCCGAUCUAUACAAAAUCACACCUUCGGGGGAAAGUGGAGCAACAGGUAACACAACUUUUAAACAAUGGUGUAAUAAGGCCUUGAAAAAGCCCGAAAAACUUCCCAUACUGGAUUGCCAAAAAAACCAAGUCCAUCCGGGGAAAAGAAGAAGAGAGUUGUCGUUGACUGCGAUAACCAUGCGUAACUCCUACGCAAAACUUGAUAUAAACAACACUCCAGCUACAAUUGCUUAGGCGAAUGAAUUAUCGUCCCCGAAUACCCACCACGAAUUUACUUUUAAUUAAAAUACGUACCAGCAACCCUACCUUCGUUACCAAUCAAAAAGAAGAAAAGAAUGUAAUAUAAUUGUACGUGUAUAUGUAAUGGUACGCUAAAACUCUAUUCGGCGGUUGUACCCUUAAAAUUGUACUAAAUAAACAUAAA